AGGUAAGAACGCUGGCGGCGUGCCUAUACAUGCAAGUCGAGCGGAUCUUCAUUAGCUUGCUUUUGAAGAUCAGCGGCGGACGGGUGAGUAACACGUGGGCAACCUGCCUGUAAGACUGGGAUAACUUCGGGAAACCGGAGCUAAUACCGGAUAAUCCUUUCCCUCACAUGAGGGAAAGCUGAAAGACGGUUUCGGCUGUCACUUACAGAUGGGCCCGCGGCGCAUUAGCUAGUUGGUGAGGUAACGGCUCACCAAGGCAACGAUGCGUAGCCGACCUGAGAGGGUGAUCGGCCACACUGGGACUGAGACACGGCCCAGACUCCUACGGGAGGCAGCAGUAGGGAAUCUUCCGCAAUGGACGAAAGUCUGACGGAGCAACGCCGCGUGAACGAUGAAGGCUUUCGGGUCGUAAAGUUCUGUUGUUAGGGAAGAACAAGUACCGGAGUAACUGCCGGUACCUUGACGGUACCUAACCAGAAAGCCACGGCUAACUACGUGCCAGCCCGCCGCGGUA
rnacentral:rRNA from 2 species